rnacentral:rRNA from 1 species
GACGAACGCUGGCGGCGUGCUUAACACAUGCAAGUCGAGCGGGUAAGGCCCUUUCGGGGGUACACGAGCGGCGAACGGGUGAGUAACACGUGGGUGACCUGCCCUCAGCUCUGGGAUAAGCCUGGGAAACCGGGUCUAAUACCGGAUAUGACUCCAUGACGCAUGUUGUGGGGUGGAAAGCCUUGUGCGGCUGAGGAUGGGCCCGCGGCCUAUCAGCUUGUUGGUGGGGUGAUGGCCUACCAAGGCGACGACGGGUAGCCGGCCUGAGAGGGCGACCGGCCACACUGGGACUGAGACACGGCCCAGACUCCUACGGGAGGCAGCAGUGGGGAAUCUUGCGCAAUGGGCGAAAGCCUGACGCAGCGACGCCGCGUGAGGGAUGACGGCCU